rnacentral:rRNA from 1 species
AUUGAACGCUGGCGGCAGGCCUAACACAUGCAAGUCGAGCGGGGUUUUCGGACCUAGCGGCGGACGGGUGAGUAAUGCGUAGGAAGCUACCCGAUAGAGGGAGAUACCAGUUGGAAACGACUGUUAAUACCGCAUAAUGUCUACGGACCAAAGUGUGGGACCUUCGGGCCACAUGCUAUCGGAUGCGCAUACGUGGGAUUAGCUAGUUGGUGAAGUAAUGGCUCACCAAGGCGACGAUCCCUAGCUGGUUUGAGAGGAUGAUCAGCCACACUGGAACUGAGACACGGUCCAGACUCCUACGGGAGGCAGCAGUGGGGAAUAUUGGACAAUGGGCGCAAGCCUGAUCCAGCCAUGCCGCGUGUGUGAAGAAGGCCUUCGGGUUGUAAAGCACUUUCAGCGAGGAGGAAGGGGUGAGUGUUAAUAGUACUCAUCUUUGACGUUACUCGCAGAAGAAGCACCGGCUAACUCUGUGCCAGCCGCCGCAGUAACAC